rnacentral:rRNA from 1 species
UGGGGAAUAUUGGACAAUGGGCGCAAGCCUGAUCCAGCAAUGCCGCGUGUGUGAAGAAGGCCUUCGGGUUGUAAAGCACUUUUAUCAGGAGCGAAACGCUGUCGGCUAAUACCCGGCGGAACUGACGGUACCUGAGGAAUAAGCACCGGCUAACUUCGUGCCAGCAGCCGCGGUAAUACGAAGGGUGCAAGCGUUAAUCGGAAUUACUGGGCGUAAAGCGUGCGUAGGCGGUUUCUUAAGUCUGCUGUAAAAUCCCCGGGCUCAACCUGGGAAUGGCAGUGGAUACUGGGAGGCUAGAGUGUGUCAGAGGGUGGUGGAAUUCCCGGUGUAGCGGUGAAAUGCGUAGAGAUCGGGAGGAACAUCAGUGGCGAAGGCGGCCACCUGGGACAACACUGACGCUGAGGCACGAAAGCGUGGGGAGCAAACAGGAUUAGAUACCCUGGUAGUCCACGCCCUAAACGAUGCGAACUGGAUGUUGGUCUCAACUCGGAGAUCAGUGUCGAAGCUAACGCGUUAAGUUCGCCGCCUGGGGAGUACGGUCGCAAGACUGAAACUCAAAUGAAUUGAC